rnacentral:rRNA from 1 species
UACGUAGGGACCGAGCGUUGUCCGGAUUCAUUGGGCGUAAAGAGCUCGUAGGCGGUUUGUCGCGUCUGCUGUGAAAUCCCGAGGCUCAACCUCGGGCCUGCAGUGGGUACGGGCAGACUGGAGUGCGGUAGGGGAGAAUGGAAUUCCUGGUGUAGCGGUGGAAUGCGCAGAUAUCAGGAGGAACACCGAUGGCGAAGGCAGUUCUCUGGGCCGUAACUGACGCUGAGGAGCGAAAGCGUGGGGAGCGAACAGG